rnacentral:SRP_RNA from 14 species
GUGACCUCGCCGGAUGCCAUCGCGCCGGUGCCCGGCAAGGAGGGAGGCACCGAGGCGAGGAGGAAAAGGAGCACGCCUAAA